AGGCAUACACGAGCUUUAACUCUUAGUACGAAAAUUUAGGUCUAAGUCUUUCUUUUACCUGCGCAUUAAUAUCAGAAAGGAGAAACAAAUAAGUCCGAAUGACUUAGUGAAAAACAUAUGAUCCAUGAGUAUGAUGAGAAUCAACAGAACAGAACAUAUAACGAGAGACUUUACAAGAAUUUCAUUAACAGAAGUGUAACAUGAAGUGUAACAUGUACAAGAGUGUAACAUGUACGGCUUGAGUUCAAUAUUUGGUGGGGUCUCCAACCUUGUAACUCCCAACAAAUAAAAUCAUAUCACAUCCUUAUCCCUCCAAUCCGUCCCGAGUGGCCACUCGGACGGAAACAGGCAGGAGGCACGACCGGAACGUGCCGAUCCGGCUCAGGAACGUUUAACUCCAAACGAACGUGAGUCCGAACCAUCAGGAGGUACCAUUCGGGAGACCAGUCAUCGUCAGCCCAAUACUGCCCGAUCGUCUUGCCGAAAUGGUCCUAGGGCCCAGCUCCCCCAAGAGCGUCCUCAAGGGUGGGGACAGUAGGUUCAAGAAUCAAUAUUAUUCCUUUUAGGAAUAUCAAGUCAUUAAUUUCAAGAAUCAAGUCAAUCAUUCACAAGAUAAGUCACGAUCACGAUAAUUGAAUAUCAAGUCUCAGGAUAAUGAACAUGUUCAGAUUUCAAUUCAAGCCAAUGAAGAAUUGUCGUGAAUAUGGAAUUCAAGAACAACAAUAAGUUCCAUGUCAGGUUCCAAGAACGAGUAUAUCAAGAUCUCAAUGAAUUCAAUAAACAUGAGAUUCAAGUUCGAGCCAACAAAAUAUUUAUUCUCGGAAAGCAUUCAAGACAAGAUUUUGAGAAUAAAUAUAGUUCAAUAUCGAUUCAAGGAAAAUGUUCAGGCCAGGGAAUCAAGUAUAGGAAUUAGCCGUGAACAUAGCAACCAAGAGAAUUGACAAGUUCAAGAUUUCAAGAACAAGAUCAAGGUUCCAAGUUCGAGCCAAGGAAACGAAUAUGCUCACAGAACAUUAAAGGUCAUAUUCCAAGAAAAAAUAUAAUCAAUGCAUCAAAGGAUUCAAGAUGGAGAAUAUAUUUGGUUUAAACAAAGGAGAUAUUAAGCGCAGGAAAGAAAUCGGAUAAGGGGUCAUAGUUUCUCACCUGGAGUCCAACGCUAGUGCAAAGCUAGUGCUAUAGAAGUGCUAUAGAAGCAUCUUUAAGCUUAAACCUUGAGUGAGAGCUUUAGUACGCUCGACACCUAUAAACAUAUUCAUCACUUAACAAGAUUCCAAAUGCUAAUAUAAUCGUAUUAUUCUACUAUAUCACAUAGUCAAUUUCUUAAACAUAUACUAAGAAUUGCUUCUCACGGCAAUUUAUUCAAAUAAUCAUUGCGAUCAUCGUACUUAUCCGAAUGACCUAAAAGAUAUAUAAAGUUAAAGAUAACAUCUGUAUCUACAAUUUUACUAAAGACUUUAAUCCCAAAUUAACAACAUAACCCGUCAAUAAAAACCCCGAAAGAUGAAUACAUAAACCUGCCAGAUUUUCGGAUAAUUUCGUUUACUGUCACAGCUUAUUCGAACAAUCGUUACGAUCACCUUACUUAUCCGAAUAACCUAAACGAUAUAUCGAAUUAAAUAUAACAUCAGUGUCUACAGAUUUACUGAAGACCCUGAGCCCAAAUUACCGACCUAACACAGUAAUAACAGCCACGGAAGAUGAGUACAUGAAACUGCCAGGUUUUUUUUUGGAAAAUUCGUUGUUGGCACAGUUUGUUUGAAAAAUCAUAACAAUUAGCAUGCUAAUCCAAAUUGAUCACAUGAUACGUCAAAUGAAAGCUAACAGAAAAUUCUGCGAGUUCACAGAAGGCUUUAGUCCCAAAUUCGGAACCGAAAAUAGCAGAAACAGCCUCAAACCAGCAUUACAGAACUGCCGGGAUUUUGGAAAGAUUACUUCUGGUACAGCUUAUUGUAAAAUUCAUAACUAUUUGUAAAGUUAUCCAAAUUGUCCAAACAAUACACCAAAUUGAACCUUACAAUGUAAACUACAAGUUCUCAGAAGACACACAACCCAAAUUAUUAGCUCAACAUAGCAAAAACGGCCUCGUAAGAAGAAUAUUCAAAACUGCCCUGUUUUUACCGAUUUACCGUCACUUAAUUCGGACCUCUAAUCAGCUUCAAAACAUACUCUAACUCGAUACAAUUUUACACUUACCAAUAGUUUUCGAGGUCCUCUACGAGUUUUGUGAAGGAAUGAUUCCCAAAUUCUCACUCCAAACCCUCCAAAUUCUGCUCCGAAAACAGGUGCGGCAGCAAAUACUAUUUCCUUCAAGGUUCCGGCGAGCGGGCUGAACUUCUUGCCCAAUUCCGGAAACCACCGCCGAUUAAUACUACCGAGCUCCAACACCAAUGGAAGGCUAACAUCUCAAGGUUUCUAACCGUGUCCUGAUCGUCAAUAUUCAACCUCUAAGGCCUCCGAGCAAUUAAUUCUUCGAAGGACCAAAAGCUGAAAUCCGAUUCUAAGACAGCUUGUCUUCUUCGUCGGAUUCCGGCCACCACCGCCAAUCAUCUGAUGCGACCACCACCGGAGGCGAUCUGAUCAUAAUAGCCCCUUGAUAGAGCCUCCUUCACGCAGCCCUGAUUCUGCCAAUAAUUCGAAUUGGGGAUUUGCAAUUCCAACCUCAAAUUUGUUUCAUAUACCUCACUUCUUCAAACCUCUUCUUCAAUUCGAUUUCCACAAUUAAUUUCUGUGAUUCCAGCCAAGAAACGAGAGAGAGGAAGAGCCGAUGAUGAGAGAGAGAGAAAGAGAAAGCGAUGAGAGAGUGAGAAACUCUGAUUGAGCUUAUAAAGAAACGAAGAGAGGAGAAAUUGAUCGGAUAGGAAGAAGGAGGAUGACUCGUACGACACGCGUCUCUCUCCUAGUUUCCAUGGUUAAUAACACUUCAUUAUCCGAUUAAACAAGCUCGUUAAUUGCUUAAUGGCCAAGUUUGCUGAUUUAGAGAAUUAUUAUUAUGCUUAUGUCCCAAAAUUAUUACAUAAUAACACAUCAGCCCCCAAUUCUCAUUAUAAAGUACAAUAAACUCUCGCAUAAAUUACGGGGUGUUACAAUCUCCCCUCCUUAAAGGAAUCUGGUCCCCAGAUUCUCAACUAAUACUCGGACACGGGAAUAGUCUUCGAUAAUCAUCUUCUUGCUAACUUGUGGCUUCUUCAACUUGGUAGUUUCUCCGAAAUUCCUUUUAUGUCUUUUUG
rnacentral:lncRNA from 1 species